AGAGGCGGAAGCGGAGUCGGCCUGAGAGGUCUCUCGUCGCUGCAGGCGCCUCAGCCCAGCCGCGUGCCUUGGCCCAUGGCCGCCUACUCUUACCGCCCCGGCCCUGGGGCCGGCCCUGGGCCUGCUGCAGGCGCGGCGCUGCCGGACCAGAGCUUCCUGUGGAACGUUUUCCAGAGGGUCGAUAAAGACAGGAGUGGAGUGAUAUCAGACACCGAGCUUCAGCAAGCUCUCUCCAACGGCACGUGGACUCCCUUUAAUCCAGUGACUGUCAGGUCGAUCAUAUGCCGAGGACGAUGAUCCCGCCGGGGGAGUGCACGUACGCGGGCCGGAAGCGGAGGAGGCCCCUGCAGAAACAGAGGCCCGCCGUGGGGGCAGAGAAGUCCAACCCCUCCAAGCGACACCGGGACCGCCUCAACGCCGAGUUGGACCACCUGGCCAGCCUGCUGCCGUUCCCGCCUGACAUCAUCUCCAAGCUGGACAAGCUUUCUGUCCUGCGCCUCAGUGUCAGUUACCUCCGGGUGAAGAGCUUCUUCCAAGUCGUGCAGGAGCAGAGCUCACGGCAGCCUGCGGCCGGCGCCCCCUCGCCCGGAGACAGCUGUCCUCUUGCAGGGUCUGCCGUGCUGGAGGGAAGGCUGCUGUUGGAGUCUCUUAAUGGCUUUGCUCUGGUCGUGAGUGCAGAAGGGACGAUAUUUUAUGCAUCAGCAACGAUCGUGGACUAUCUGGGCUUCCAUCAGACGGAUGUAAUGCACCAGAACAUUUAUGACUACAUCCACGUGGACGACCGCCAGGACUUCUGCCGGCAGCUCCACUGGGCCAUGGACCCUCCCCAGGUGGUGUUUGGGCAGCCCCCGCCCUUGGAGACAGGAGAUGAUGCUAUCCUGGGGAGGCUGCUCAGGGCCCAGGAGUGGGGCACAGGCACGCCCACCGAGUACUCGGCCUUCCUGACCCGCUGCUUCAUCUGCCGUGUGCGCUGCCUGCUGGACAGCACCUCGGGCUUCCUGACGAUGCAGUUUCAAGGAAAACUAAAAUUCCUGUUUGGACAGAAGAAGAAGGCGCCGUCAGGAGCCAUGCUCCCGCCGCGGCUGUCGCUGUUCUGCAUUGCGGCACCCGUUCUCCUCCCCUCCGCAGCGGAGAUGAAAAUGAGGAGCGCGCUCCUGAGGGCAAAACCCAGAGCAGACACCGCAGCCACCGCGGAUGCAAAAGUAAAAGCCACCACCAGUCUGUGCGAAUCGGAACUGCAUGGAAAACCCAAUUACUCAGCAGGAAGGAGCAGCAGAGAGAGCGGCGUUUUGGUGCUCAGGGAACAGACUGACGCUGGCCGAUGGGCACAGGUUCCCGCCAGGGCCCCAUGCCUGUGCCUCCGGGGUGGCCCUGACCUUGUCCUUGACCCCAAGGGGGGCUCAGGGGACAGGGAGGAGGAGCAGCACAGGAUGCUGAGCAGGGCCUCUGGAGUGACAGGGCGGAGGGAGACUCCAGGACCCACAAAGCCCCUGCCCUGGACAGCGGGAAAGCACAGUGAGGAUGGUGCCAGGCCGAGGCUGCAGCCCAGCAAGAAUGACCCGCCCUCCCUGCGCCCCAUGCCCCGCGGCUCCUGCCUGCCCUGCCCGUGUGUCCAGGGCACUUUCAGGAACUCGCCCAUCUCUCACCCGCCGAGCCCGUCCCCCAGUGCCUACUCCAGCCGGACCAGCAGACCCAUGCGGGAUGUCGGUGAGGACCAGGUGCACCCUCCCCUCUGCCACUUUCCCCAGAGGAGCCUGCAGCACCAGCUCCCUCAGCCUGGAGCUCAGCGUUUUGCCACGAGGGGCUAUCCCAUGGAGGACAUGAAGCUGCAAGGUGUACCGAUGCCUCCGGGGGACCUGUGUGGUCCGACGCUGCUGCUAGAUGUGUCCAUCAAGAUGGAGAAGGACUCUGGGUGUGAGGGUGCUGCAGACGGCUGUGUGCCCAGCCAGGUGUGGCUGGGGGCCAGUGACAGGAGCCACCCAGCCACCUUCCCUACCAGGAUGCACCUGAAAACAGAGCCAGACUCUCGGCAACAGGUGUACAUCUCGCACCUGGGGCACGGCGUGCGGGGGGCUCAGCCCCAUGGGAGGGCCACUGCUGGGCGCAGCAGGGAGCUGACCCCUUUCCACCCUGCACACUGUGCCUGCCUGGAGCCCACAGACGGCCUUCCCCAGUCGGAGCCUCCCCACCAGCUCUGUGCACGGGGCCGAGGUGAACAGUCCUGCACCUGCAGAGCUGCUGAGGCCGCCCCUGUGGUCAAGCGGGAGCCCUUGGACUCACCCCAGUGGGCUACUCACAGCCAGGGAAUGGUGCCCGGGAUGUUGCCCAAAAGUGCCUUGGCCACGCUGGUCCCGCCCCAAGCUUCGGGGUGCACAUUCCUGCCAUAGCGCAGUGACCACCAUCCAAGCUCAGAUCUGUGUGUCUACGCUCAGAUGCGUCGGUGGCUGGGCUGCCCUGCUCCUGGUCAGGCCGGAGCCCGUCCUAAGACACACGCUUUGCAGAGCUGUGCAUGCGCAGUCUGCUAGUGUGUGUGUGCAGCAUACGCAGGAGCCUAUCCUGAAUUUUGUAAAAUAUCCCAACAGUUCUUAAAUGAAAACUGGCCUUAAGUCUAUUCAAGCAUGACAGCAUUUCUCUUUGAGGAAUUAAAAUCUUUAGGAAAGUGAUCAUGGCUGGACAGCUUCAUGCCCCAGAGGCAGCGAGCACCCGUCCCAUGGCUGCCAAGUCCACAGUCGGGGAUGAAGCAGUCGGGUGAUGCUCCCAAGUCCGCAGUCGGGGAUGAAGCGGUCGGGUGAUGCUCCCAAGUCCGCAGUCGGGGAUGAAGCGGUCGGGUGACACACCUAGCUCAGCCCUCCCAGGCCACCUGCAGCUCCCAGCCUGUGCUGUGCAGGCAGGGUCAGCCCAUCGCCACAGUGCACUGUAGAGGCCAGCACACGGCAAAUUAGAAAUACAACACGCGGAGAAAGGGGUCCGUGAGCCCACUCAUAGAGGAAUCUAGAACGUUCCAGGCAGCAGAGGCUGGCAGCGUGGGUCCCACACUGCCCCACACCGUGCGGCAGGUGCUCCAUGGCGCCAUGACAGAGUCUGAGGCCAGACCUGGACUGGAAUUGACAGCAUAACCCCUGUUCCUUCUGGACAUCUCCCGAGUUCUCAGUGGGUCUCUGCGGACGGUUCUUCCUAAUCUGCCUCUUGGUACAUCACGUAAUACAGAGUUCACAGACUCCGGGUUUGGAAGUACAGAGAAACACACAACGUAGAGAGAAGACACAGGAAACUGCGCUGCCUGUGGGGGUUUCUCUCUGGCUGGCUGUACAGUUCACUCAAAUGAGGGUUCCCAUUGCCAUCCUAGGAGAAUAAUUAGGGACAAGACAGACAAGUAUUAAUAGCAUUAAAACAGUUGUAAAGGCGAUAUUUUCUGAGAGUAGGAAAUUUGGAUACAAAAGCAUAAGUCAGAAAGUGAAGGUCACCAAUCCACCAACCCGAGAACCUACAGCUGAUGGUGCAUUUCAGGCUUCUUCCACGGUCUGGCCUGGAACCCCACCCGGCUGGUGCAGGCAUCAGAUCAGGGUGUAGAAGUCACCCCAAGCAAGAGGAAGCCAGGCAGUGAGGCCCUGGGGUGUGGCUGCAGCUGGGCCCACCUGUGCGGGGGUGGGAAGGCCCCAUCCUCAGGGAGAGGGCAUCGGCGCCCUGACGUCAGCUCCACUGGGAGUGGCAGGAGCUGUGGGAGCCCAUGGGUGAGGGACCCACCACCCCGCUGCACUGUGCAUUGUGCCUCCCGUGUGGACGCCCUCUCUGUUGUUGGCCCGCGGGUGAGGGACCCACCACCCCUAGGGACCCACCACCCCGCCGCACUGUGCAUUCUGCCUCCUGUGUGGACGCCCUCUCUGUUGUCAGUGGCUUUGAGGUGUCAGUGCUUACUUAGAUGCUGGUUUAAUGCUGGACCCAUUUGUUAAACGCACCUUCACUUUGUCAAAACCCAGGUUUGGUUGGCAGGACUGGGUCUUCUGCCCAAUGCCAGGUGCCUGCGCCUCUCAGUGGCCUGGUUCUUGGACAGUUUGCCCCCAUGUGGCAGGGAUAGGGAUAAGGAUCUCCUCUCAGUACUGGAAGAGAACAGCCAACCAUCUGAGCCCAGAGUCACAGAUCCAUCGUGGCCCCCUAUGACCCCCAAGCCCUACCGAGGGGGCACUCACUCUCUGCUUAGCCAGGGGGCGUCUUUCAAAAGGUGACCUCCAUGCUGUGCUGUCGUGGGUGUGAGACGUGCUCAUGGCCUUCCACUGCCAUCUCUCCCUUAUCUGAUGCCUAAAGUCACGAUGGGGACAGAGCUACCCAGGGGCCAGCCAUGGGGUGACCAGCCACCUGAGGGUCAGUCACCUGUGGAGAGCAGGCACCUGUGAAGACCAGGCACCUGAGGACUGGCGCCUACUUCCCACUUUGGCCCUACACUGGCACAGAGCCCCUCUUUAUUCAUUUCUCAUGCUGAGCAUGGCACACUUCUGGCCUCUGGGCAUUUAUGGAUUUAAGACCAGGAUGGUAUUUCAGAAGCUUCCCACUUCCUUCCUAUUCUAACCGAGUGCCCAGCUCCUUUGCUGAUCAUGGAAAGACCCUUAAUAAUUAGGCCUGCAGGCCAGGCGCAGUGGCUCAUGCCUAUAAUCCCAGCACUUUAGGAGGUCAAGGUAGGAGGAUCGCUUAAGCCCAGGAGUUCAAGACCAGCCUGGGCAACACAGGAAGAAUGUGUCUCUACAAAAAAUAAUUAAAAAUCAGAUCUGCUGUAUCCCUGAAAAAGUCUCAAUCAACAUGCAUGUUCCACUCUUGGAGUUCCCUGUUCUGAGGGCCAGCCACGUCCUGUGUCCUGGAGCUUAGCCCUCAGCAGCUCCCUUCAGCCUGGGCGCCGCCUGGGUCCCAAACGUGGCAGCUGCUCUUCCAGUCUCGGGGCCGAGGAGGGCAGGGAGCUCAGUGACUGAGAGUCUUGUGUAUCACAUGUCUUGAGUGUCCUGGAGCCAACGGCUGUCACUGGGAAAAACACCAGGCCCCAAAGAUCGAAUCAGAGACGUGGCUGCGUGUUUGCGAUUGUAGCCAGGCCCUUCAGUGUCAUCAAAGGAGCACUGGGGCCUCCUUAAGCACAGACGGCAGCCCCUGCCCAGGAGGCUUCUUCACCACGUCCUGCCCUGCAGCCUCCCAGACCUUUAGAUGCGCCCCUGCCCAAGGCCCUCCUGGUGACAGGUGCCAGAUUGAGUGGUGGGUUGCUGCCAGGCAGGCCACGCUGUGUUGACGCUGCACUCAGCACGUGGGUGUUGGCUCUGCCGGUUUUGUGGUGUGGGGACCCUACAGGAGGCUGCGGCCCUGAGAGCCUGGGAUCAGCGAGGUGUCCGACAUCCCUUCCUCAACGGCAACAAAAACUCCCCAAGUCAGCACUUUGGUUAUUUUAUAGCCACAACCCUCUUGGAAAACAGUGGGGAAGACUAUGGAACAUAGAAAGUGUGGAUGUAUCACUUCUCUCUAAAAUGUCAUUGUUAGCACUAAUUACAGGUUCAUGUUUUUCUGUGUAUGUAGCUUUUCCCUAUAUAGCUGAAAAAGUAUUAAAGUCAAAUAUAAGGUGGGAAUGGGAUGGAAGGGAGGAGAUCAAUACAACUUAUAUUUUUGCAGUUUCUACUGGAAGAAAAAAGUUUUCAAUACCUAGACCAACUUGUUGAAUUUUUAAAACUUAUGCACUAUAAAUGCAACUUUCUCUACUGCUUUCUCAGUGCCUUUAGGAAGCUUUCAAAUUUUUUUGUACUGUGGUUUGUAUUAAAUUUGCAAUAUUGAUGUAAAAUACAUGACAUGCUAGUACAUGUUUAACAAAAA
rnacentral:lncRNA from 1 species